CUCUUUCUACAUAUAUGUGUGUAUGUGCAUGUGUGUUUGUAUGCAUACAGGAGGCUACGAGCAUAUGGAGAAAAGCAAGAACAAAAUUAACAAUCAAAA
rnacentral:miRNA from 1 species